rnacentral:rRNA from 1 species
GUGCAGCAGUCGAGAAUUUUUCUCAAUGGGCGAAAGCCUGAAGGAGCGACGCCGCGUGGAGGAUGAAGGCCUUCGGGUUGUAAACUCCUGUCAUUUGAGAACAAGUGCCAACAAGUAACUACUGUUGGCUUGAUAGUAUCAGAAGAGGAAGGGACGGCUAACUCUGUGCCAGCAGCCGCGGCAAUACAGAGGUCCCAAGCGUUGUUCGGAUUCAUUGGGCGUAAAGGGUGCGUAGGUGCGCCAUAAGUCAGGUGUGGAAUUUCGGAGCUUAACU